AGAAGCUUAGGCUAAAAAGACCCAGAGCCUUCAAAGCUCUAAGUGGGAGUUAGAUCCUCCCAGCUUCUG
rnacentral:tRNA from 2 species